rnacentral:rRNA from 1 species
AGCGAACGUUUGCGGCGGGCCUAACACAUGCAAGUCGAACGGGCAGGGGUAACCCUGUCAGUGGCGCACGGGUGCGUAACACGUGGGUAAUCAACCCUUUGGACUGGGACAACCCGGGGAAACUCGGGCUAAUACCGGAUGUGGCAUGUCGGUCUUCGGGCUGACAUGCGAAAGCCUCGCAAGGGGCACCAGAGGACGAGCCCGCGGCCCAUCAGCUAGUUGGUGAGGUAAUGGCUCACCAAGGCGAAGACGGGUAGCUGGUCUGAGAGGAUGAUCAGCCACACUGGGAACUGAGACACGGUCCAGACUCCUACGGGAGGCAGCAGUGGGGAAUAUUGCGCAAUGGGCGAAAGCCUGACGCAGCCACGCCGCGUGAGGGAUGAAGGUCUU